rnacentral:lncRNA from 1 species
ACCGGUGCGUCGACCUUUAGCGCUACCCUGUGCAACUAUCUUUUCACAAUAGAAGGUUUGUUUUCCUGACUAGAAGAGGAGUGCGUGUUCGUGUUUGUACUCCUUGCAGAUGCAGGCCACUUCACCUUUCCAGAACCUUCUGUGAAUGAAUACAGGAGAAAGCAGAAGUGGGUUUGGGUUGGGGGUCUAGUGUUGGGAUGGAACCCCGGGCCUUGUGGAUGCUAGACAAGUGAUGUGCACCGGGAUACACCCCCAGGCCUUUUCCUUUUUCACUUUGAUUCAUGGUCUCACUAAAUUGCCUAGAUUGGCCUUGAACUUGUAUCCUGCCUCAGCCUCCCAAGAAUCUGGGAUUGCAAUCAUGUACCUGCUUUUAGGCUUUGUACCUGGCUAAAAGCAAAGGUUUUGAGUGUUUAUUCCUCCUGAGUUUUCAGUCGAGAAGCUGCCCCUCCAGGGCAUAUCCUCUUCCGGCCUCUCAAACAUCUCAGCCAGGAGCCUCUGUCAGCAACGUCCCCACAGCAGCAGAGCUGGUCUAGGGGUGGGUGUGAGCAGCUCCACCUUCCCUUCAUUCCUCUUCCGCUGUAGUUUUGUUUUUUGAGAUAGCCCCCACCAUGUUGCUCAGGCUGACCUUGAACUUGCUAUUAUAUACUCCAGGCUGGCUUCGAAUUCAUCCUCCUCCUGCCUCAGCCUCCUGAGUGCCGGGACUACAUUCAUGUGCCACCACACCCAGCUUCCGCUUCUGCUCGAUGCUACUAAUGCAUGUAGGACAGGCUGAUGAGCAUGCAGGCUUUAGACGCCUCGAUGGCCUUUUCCAGUGCCUUCUGCCUACCUUCCCUGGAUGUCCCCUCUCAUACCUCUGGUGCAUCUCUACCCACUCUUGAGAACUCACCGUAUCCACCCCAGGAUGCACAGCUUUCCUUAGCCUGCUCAUCUCUCUGGGACAACGCUGCCCUCCCCCCAGCACCUGCACUUGAGCGUGGCCGUCCUCACUUGAGCCAGUGGCGUGGAAGUCCCAGCGAGCAGUUGGGGGAAGAAUCACAACCUCUUCCAGGGCACAGGUGGCUCCAUUUCAGAUUUCCCUCCAGACCUGUUAGGCGAAAGUGGAUACACUAUGUCCCUAAAACAAAUACUCCAAAGGCUUCCUAA